rnacentral:lncRNA from 1 species
GUCUCAUCUGCACAUUUACAGAGUAGCAUCAGAUCCAUGGAGAUGCUGCUCACUGAAAAAGUAACAUCCAUUGUGUUGGACCUCACCUAUGUGACCUUUCCAGGGCAUAGUCUGGAAGGACAUGGAAAAUUAAAAGAGAAGUUAAACACUGCACAAUUAAGUGAGAAGAACUUUGAAUCUCAGUGAAUAACUCAGGCAAGACAAUAGGAAGAGAAUGGAGAUAAGGAGAAGGUAUGAGCUACAAGAAGGAAGGUCAGCCCUCCACCAAACCAGCAAGAUAUUCCCUGUGGUGAAGAAUGGCUGAUGAAUUUCAGCACAAAGCUAUCUAAUGUUCAGUUUCAAGUUGCUAUCUACAUGAUGCUAUGCCAUCAUCCCUCCAUUACUGCAAAGCUUCAGUAAAAGAGAAAAAGAAAGUUAACAGCAGAAAUGAGGAGCAAUAUUUAGGAAGCAUAACGGGGCAUAAAGACAUGUAAACUCUACAAAAUUACACAGGGCUUAGGAGGAGAACUCAGCUUCCAGUUUGAUGAUGAAAUAUUAGUUAAACACAUCAUCCCCAAAGGGAUUUAUUUGCAUCUUCUAUGAACGUUGAUGGAAACAGUCUCAGUUUAUCAGCAAGAUGGCUGAGGAUGCACUUACCUAAAUGAGCAAUGAAGAUUCAUCUGCUACAACUGAGCUGUAUUUGCAUAGGCUAACUUAUUGAGAAGGAAAAGUUAGGUUUCAGUAUUAUAUAAAAUGUGUUUGUUUUGUUUGUUUGUUUGUUUUUCGGACAGGGUCUGGGU